GGCGGGGCGGGCGGCGCCGAGGGGAUCCCGGGGCGGCCGAGGGCCCCUGACUCGGCUCCGCGCGGCGACAUGGACCGGAUGGCCAGCUCCAUGAAGCAGGUGCCCAACCCCCUGCCCAAGGUGCUGAGCCGGCGCGGGGUGGGCGCGGGGAUCGAGGCGGCCGAGCGGGAGAGCUUCGAGCGGACUCAGGCUGUCCAGGAGGCUCUGCAGAGGGAGGACAGGGGUCCUGGGCAUGGCCACAGUGUGGAGCUGAGCCAGGGGACCUCGGAGAAAAUGAAGGGGGCCUUGAAGAGAGCCCCUGGUCACCUGGAAGCACUUCUCCUUGUCACUCAAGUUGGGGACACCCAGACUGUCAGCAUCAAUAAGGCCAUUAAUACGCAGGAAGUGGCUGUAAAGGAAAAACACGCCAGAACAUGCAUACUGGGCACCCACCAUGAGAAAGGGGCACAGACCUUUUGGUCUGUUGUCAACCGGCUACCCCUCUCUAGCAAUGCUGUCCUUUGCUGGAAGUUCUGCCACGUGUUUCACAAACUCCUCCGAGAUGGACACCCGAACGUCCUGAAGGACUCCCUGAGAUACAAAAAUGAAUUGAGUGACAUGAGCAGGAUGUGGGGCCACCUGAGCGAGGGGUAUGGACAGCUCUGCAGCAUCUACCUCAGACUGCUAAGAACGAAGAUGGAAUAUCACACCAAAAAUCCCAGGUUCCCAGGCAACCUUCAGAUGAGCGACCGGCAGCUGGAUGAGGCUGGAGAGAGCGACGUUAACAACUUUUUCCAGCUAACAGUGGAGAUGUUUGACUACCUGGAGUGUGAACUUAAUCUCUUCCAAACUGUGUUCAAUUCCCUGGACAUGUCCCGCUCGGUGUCCGUGACGGCAACCGGGCAGUGCCGGCUCGCCCCGCUGAUCCAGGUCAUACUGGACUGCAGUCAUCUGUACGAUUACACUGUCAAGCUCCUCUUCAAACUCCACUCCUGUCUCCCAGCCGACACCCUGCAAGGCCACCGGGAUCGUUUCAUGGAGCAAUUCACCAAGUUGAAAGAUCUGUUCUACCGCUCCAGCAACCUCCAGUACUUCAAGCGGCUCAUUCAGAUCCCUCAACUGCCUGAGAACCCACCCAACUUCCUGCGGGCCUCUGCGCUGUCAGAACACAUCAGCCCUGUGGUGGUCAUCCCGGCCGAGGCCUCGUCCCCGGACAGCGAGCCCGUCUUAGAGAAGGAUGACCUCGUGGACAUGGAUGCCUCCCAGCAGAAUUUAUUUGACAACAAGUUUGAUGACAUCUUUGGCAGCUCAUUCAGCAGUGACCCCUUCAAUUUCAACAGUCAGAACGGCGUGAACAAGGAUGAGAAGGAUCACUUAAUUGGUCAACUAUACAGGGAAGUCAGUGAGCUGAAGGCACAGCUGGAGAACAUGAAGACUGAGAGCCAGCGGGCCGUGCUGCAGCUGAAGGGCCGGGUCAGCGAACUGGAGGCUGAGCUUGCAGAACAGCGACAUCUGCGGCAGCAGGCGGCUGAUGACAGCGAGUUUCUCCGGGCCGAGCUGGACGAGCUCAAGAAGAAGCGCGAAGACACGGAGAAGGCCCAGCGGAGCCUGACCGAGAUAGAAAGGAGAGCCCAAGCCAAUGAACAGCGGUACAGCAAGCUAAAGGAAAAGUACAGUGAGCUGGUGCAGAACCACGCUGACCUGCUGCGGAAGAAUGCAGAGGUGACCAAACAGGUGUCCGUGGCCAGGCAAGCCCAGGCGGAUUUGGAACGAGAGAAAAAAGAGCUAGAGGACUCCUUCCAGCGAAUAAGUGACCAGGCGCAGCGGAAGACUCAAGAACAGACGGAAGUACUAGAGAGCUUGAAGCAAGAACUUGCCACCAGCAAACAGGAACUCCAGAUUGUCCAAGGCAGCCUGGAAACUUCUGCCCAGUCAGAGGCAAAGUGGGCCGGCCAGAUCGCCGAGCUUGAGAAGGAGCGGAGCAGCUUGGCGCAUGCCGUGGCUCGUCGGGAGGAAGAGUUAUCCGCUCUUCAGGAACAGCUCGAACACACCCAGCGGGAACUGUCCAGCGCAAGGGAAUCCGCGUGCCAGGUCGCCAAAGACCAACGGAAAAUGCUGCUGGCAGAGUCAAGGAAGGCCGCAGAGCAGGUGGUCCAGGAGGCCCUGCGGCAGCUCGAGGAGCCCACUCUGAUCAGCUGUGCCGGCUCUGCAGAUCACCUUCUCUCCAAGGUCAAGUCUGUUUCCAGCUGCCUCGAGCAACUGGAAAAAAGCUGGAGCCGCUACCUGGCCCACCCAGAAGAUAUCAGUGGGCUCCUCCACUCGGUCACCCUCCUUGCCCACUUGACCAGUGACACCAUGGCUUACGUGAGCACCACCUGCCUUCGAGCCCCGCUGGAACCUGCUGACUCGCUGACUGAGGCCUGCAAGCAGUUUGGCAAGGAAACCCUCCUCUACCUGGCUUUCCUGGAAGAGGAAGGAACGCGGGAAAAUGACGGCACGGCCGUGAAGAGCUGCCUCAACAGGAUCUCUGCCAUUACCGAGGAGCUCCUGCCCAGAGGCCUGGACAUCAAACAGGAGGAGCUGGGGGACCUGGUGGACAAGGAGAUGGCUGCCACGUCAGCUGCCAUCAAAACUGCUACGGCCAGAAUCGAGGAGAUGCUCAGCAAAUCCCGAGCUGGAGACACAGGAGUCCAGUUGGAGGUGAACGAAAGGAUCCUUGGUUCCUGUACAAGCCUAAUGCAAGCUAUUCAGGUCCUGAUCGUGGCCUCGAAGGACCUCCAGAGAGAGAUAGUGGAGAGUGGCCGGGGCACAGCAUCACCUAAAGAGUUUUAUGCCAAGAAUUCCCGAUGGACGGAAGGACUCAUCUCGGCCUCCAAAGCUGUGGGCUGGGGAGCCACUGUCAUGGUGGAUGCAGCCGAUCUGGUGGUGCAAGGCAGAGGGAAAUUUGAGGAACUGAUGGUGUGUUCGCACGAAAUCGCUGCCAGCACAGCCCAGCUUGUGGCUGCCUCUAAGGUGAAAGCUGACAAGGACAGCCCAAACCUGGCCCAGCUGCAGCAGGCCUCCCGGGGGGUGAACCAGGCCACCGCCACUGUCGUGGCCUCCACCAUCUCGGGCAAAUCCCAGAUUGAGGAGACAGACAAUAUGGACUUCUCCAGCAUGACACUGACCCAGAUCAAACGCCAGGAGAUGGAUUCCCAGGUCAGGGUGCUGGAGCUGGAGAAUGACCUGCAGAAGGAGCGUCAAAAGCUGGGAGAGCUUCGAAAAAAGCACUACGAGCUCGCUGGUGUUGCCGAGGGCUGGGAAGAAGGAACCGAAGCGUCUCCACCUGCACUGCAUGAAGCGGACACCGGAAAAGAAUAGAGCCACGUCGACACCCCACACGUCCGAGUGUAAAUCUUGUGGCCUGUCUGUCCUUUUCUGUUUCACCAUCUGCACCAACUCGUGAGCGUCAGAGGGCUGGCGGGGCGCCAAGCCAGGACGCCGUCCUAAAUCUGUGCCAACUGAACAGCGGGAGCGUCCUGGCCGAGCACGCUGAGGCAACUCUCCCCUCUCUUGGCAGUUCCAUGGAUUUCCCACUGCUUCUUAUGGUGGUUGGUUGGGUUUUUGUUUUUGUUUUUGUUUUUGUUUUCUUCUUUCAGCGUUCCCUCAUAGAGCCAACUCUCCCAAAGGGAGCACCCCUGGAGCUCUGAGCCAUCGGGGGCCCCUAACCACAGCAGUUAACAGCAAUGGUGCUGCUCAGGCUUCUCCUUGGUGCUCCACACCAGCCUCCAUGCUGAGUGUCCCGCUGAGCGAGUCUGGGGCAGCCGAGGCCUCUCCCCAGAGGUGGGCACCGCGGCUCGGCCCCACUCUCCUCCAAGGGCAGAAGCAGAGCGAGUGCCUUUCCUUCCUAAAGCGAGAGCCCAGCUGAAAGCCUCUGACCGGGGGUAAAGAAGGCGGGAAAGGAGGGGUGCACACAACCCAGGCCUCAGGAGACCCCUUUCUUGGGAACUUCUGGUGCCCAGGCUGAAAAACCUUAUCAUGUGCUUGAGUGUGCUGGGGAGAGUAGCCACCUUCUUACCCCAGAAUGAAUUUUCCGUGCCACCUCCCUUCAGGCCCAGGUGGGACCCUGAGAGGGAGCACGUGAGGGCUUUUCCAACUCCUCUCUCCAACUGGCCGCCUGGGCAUCCUCUUGAACCUGAAGAAGAUAAUUCCAUGUUCUACCUAAGGGACAGACCCAGAAGAUCAGGCAGAUUUGCUCCCGGCAGGAAAGAACCCUGUGCUUGGUUGGGUACCUUUAAUAUUUAUUACUAACCUCUGUUCGGCGGCGGCGGCAGCCUCCAGAAAGACGCUUUGAGCAAUCAGGAUUUGAGGUGUGGUGAUGGUGGGGCUGCAUGGCUGCCCCAGGUCAUGAGUCUUCAAGAAUCAGACACCAGGCCAACAUGCUUCCCAGUCUGUUACUGGCCUAGACCCCGAGGCAAGCAGGUUCCUCAGAGCACCUGGGUCAGGGAAACCGAGAAAGGGAGACCACUGGCUCUGAGCCUUCCAGCCACACGUCCCGGGCCCUUGCUGCCUGGACAGGAUGAGGACAGAGGGCACAUUAACGGCUUCCUAGGGGCGGGCAGCCUGACAGCACUUGUCCACCUCCAGACAGACAGACCCCAGCAUUUAAGUGACCUUCCGAUCUUGGACAAACGGUAUCUUCCUUCCUUAUCUGUAGCAACUCCUAGGUAGAAGCCAACAAGCACUUCCCAGGACCUGUCCCACAGGAGCAUUGCUAAGUGUUGCUAUGUGAUAGGUGGCGAGGUCCCUGUUUGAUCACUGUGAAUCAACCGCCCUCCUUCCCCCCCCACCCUCCCCCUCCCUCUCUGUGCAUUUUCUAAGUAGGGCACUCAAAAAACACUCUCCCAGUAGCUCAGAUUCCAAGACUCAGACAGGUGAUCACGUUGGGCUAAAGAGGGGUCAGCCGCAGAAGAUAAGCGGUCUUACGCUUAACACUUCUUUGUGCUCAGCGUUUUUCCAUCCGGGGCUCAGAAGGAGUGGUGCGUGGCGCCCCUGGCCCAGUUGUGCCAAUUAAGCCAAUCGGUGCGGUCUCAGAGUGGGUCAGCAUUUCCACAGCGGACUAGUCCUCACUUCCAGAAUCUCGGCCGAACUGUUGUGCUCCGAAUUACCAGUGGUGAGAAAAAUCUAGUAUAUUGGACCACACUGGGAUUCUCUGAAUAAUGUUCCCUCUAAAAAGAAGCCACAGUAAUUUUUAAAAUCUUUGCGGACUUCGCCUGAGUAAUAAGACCGUGAAGAAAGAGAUUAAACAGGAACACAAGCUAAUCCCGUGUCACACAAGAAGUAUCCGUCGGGGGUAGCGUAGUAUUUGUCCUCGCUUGCCUUAGGAGCUGGCCCAUCCUCUAGCCAAAAUCAAAUUGUCCUACCUUGGCUUUUCUCAAGUAAGGGUGUUUAUACUUGGUGUGAAAUACUUGAUUCAAACAGGAAUGACAUCCUAAGGCUAAAAAUGAACCUCAUAGCCUUUUAAAGUAGUCACUGAGCAUCCUGAGUGACUGAAGUCCCAUGGGCCAGUGUAAUUGGGUCACAGCAAGGCAGAACAACAAAAGAUGGCUUAGGACUGAUGAGAGGUUGAAAGACAGGCGUAUCCCUUAUUUAAUUUUCUAUACAGUUGCUCUAAUAUCUCUAGAGUAAGGGGGUAUGUGUACAUAAUAAGGAAAAAAAAAGGUAGAAAAGACCUGCCUUUUGUGGGGUUCUUUUAUAUCUGAGUCAGGAGUUUAAAUUAGACUGUAAUUUAGAUUGUUGCCUAGUUCUGCCGCUGACAGCAAGAUCCCUAGGGUCCCACCUGAAUCUAAGUCCCUAAUCCAGUGGCUGGAAGAACCAAACAUUGCCCAGAAUGUCCUUAACGUUGGAAGUGUUUGAGCUGCCAAGUCAACACCAGGGUUAACCAGGUACCACGGGGGUCACAAUGCAUGUCGUUCAUCCUCAGAUUGGCUUGCUU